rnacentral:lncRNA from 1 species
GCACAUGGACCCAUUGCUUGACACAUGGCGACAUUGUUUGUUAUUUGAAUUUAAAUUCAAACAUUAAGCAAUGUGUUAAAUGAUUUUAAUCACUCAAACCAUCAGCCAAGGUUAGGGCUGGAAGUGGGCUCGGGCCGGCCCGAAGCCCAUCGGGUCGGGCCGCCUGCGGGCCGGGCUAUGGGCUCGACCCAAUGAAUUUCGGGCCGGGCUCGGGCUGCAAACUUAAGCCCAAUUUUAUUUCGGGCCGGGCUCGGGUUUCCCAUUGGCCCGGCCUGGGCCCGGACCAAGCCCGAGCCCAAUGCCAGCCCGAAAUUGACCACGGUCCACAGCCCGAAUUGGGGAUUUUGUUAUACCGAGUCCCAUGCUCAUCUUCCCCAACCCCUCAAAAUCUCCUCUUUCCCCAGUCUAUAUCCGCUGUCUCUUCCCAGCCUUCCUCCCCUCUAAACCCUUCUCCUCCUCGUCCUCCUCUUCUUUCCCCACUCCAACCACAGCCCCAACUCCCACCCCCGAAGAAGACCUCGCCGGCCUCAUCCUUCAACAGAAGACUCCCUCCACCGCCCUUCGCAUCUUCCGAUGGGCCGCCCGCAUCCCCUCCUUCCCCGCCGCCUCCACCGCCCUCCUCCGCUCCUUCCUCUCCUCCGGUCGCCCCGUUGCCGCCCUCCGCCUCCUCUCCGCCCUCCCCUCCCCUCCUGACGACACCACUCUCAUCUCCCUCAUCCGCGCCCUCUCCCGCGCCGGCAACCCCCGCGGCGCCUUCCGCGUCCCCAACCUCCUCCGCCCCCACCGCUCCCCCUCCCUCCGCCUCUUCAACUCCGUCCUCGACGCCCUCGUCCAGCACGACAUCGACCUCGCCCGCAACUUCUUCCGCUGAAAAAUGGCAGCUUUCGGCGCCCGCGGCGACGAGCGCCCCUUCGGCAUCUUGAUGAAGGGCAGGUGGGGCGGCGGGUGUUGAAGGAGAUGGAUAGUAAAAGAGUUCUUCCCAAUGUGCACACCUACAAUUCCUUGAUCUCUGGGUUCUGUGAUUCGGGGAAGCUCGGCUUGGCUAUGGAGCUCUUUGAAGAGAUGAGGAUGGAUGGCAUCAGUCCAAAUUUUGAAACUUUUGAUGCACUGAUUCGAGGAUUGUGCUUUGGAGGGAGGGUCGCAGAUGGGUUGAAGGUUGUGAGCUUGAUGGAAGAGGAGAGAGGACAUGGAGACAACAUUAGUCCUUAUAAUAGUGUUCUAUACGGGCUUUACAAGGAAGGCAGCAUGUAAGAAGCCUUUGAGUUUCUUAACAGGAUGGCAAGCUCUUUUCCUAGAGCUGUUGACAGAAGCUUGAGGAUAUUGAGAUUCUGCCAGGAGAAUAAGGUUGGGGAGGCCAAGAUGGCCCAAACGGGCUCGGGCCGGGCUCAGGACGGGCUCGGGCCUCAUUCCUGUAAAAUUGUUCGGGCCUCGGCCCGGCCCGAAGCCCGGAAAAAAAUGUCGGGCCGGGCUUGGGUAGGGGUGUGGCCCGGCCCGGCCCGGCCCACUUCCAGCCCUAGCCAAGGUGGCGUAUGAGUUUUUGAAUGGAUUAAAUUCGAAUUUCAAGAGGUGAUUUCGAAAUUAUGAAGUGUUUUACCUUGCCGCAUGGAUUUCAAAUUCCUUCCCUCUUGCACAUGUGUUUAAAAUUUGAAUUUAAAUCAGAUUUGGUUGAGAUCUGAUUUGGGUUGCUCCUAUUCCUUUGCAUGUGCCAACUAAAAGAGGUUUUCUGAAAAUAAAUUUCGAAUUUUGAAUGAAAAUUCGGAGGCCAUUAAAAGGGGUCAAACAUGGGCACCAAAAACACAUC